CCUACGGGAGGCAGCAGUGGGGAAUAUUGGUCAAUGGGUGCGAGCCUGAACCAGCCAUGCCGCGUGCAGGAAGACGGCCUUCUGGGUUGUAAACUGCUUUUGCCAGGGGAUAAAAAGCUCAUGCGUGAGCAAUUGAAGGUACCUGGUGAAUAAGCACCGGCUAACUACGUGCCAGCAGCCGCGGUAAU
rnacentral:rRNA from 1 species